ACUCCUACGGGAGGCAGCAGUGGGGAAUAUUGCACAAUGGGGGAAACCCUGAUGCAGCCAUGCCGCGUGUGUGAAGAAGGCCUUCGGGUUGUAAAGCACUUUCAGUAGGGAGGAAGGUAGUGUAGUUAACACCUGCACUAUUUGACGUUACCUACAGAAGAAGCACCGGCUAACUCCGUGCCAGCAGCCGCGGUAAUACGGAGGGUGCGAGCGUUAAUCGGAAUUACUGGGCGUAAAGCGCAUGCAGGCGGCCUGUUAAGUCAGAUGUGAAAGCCCGGGGUCUUAACCUCGGAAUUGCAUUUGAAACUGGCAGGCUAGAGUCUUGUAGAGGGGGUUAGAAUUUCGAGGUGUAGCGGUGAAAUGCGUAGAGAUCUGAAGGAAUACCAGUGGCGAAGGCGGCCCCGUGGACAAAGACUGACGCUCAGAUGCGAAAGCGUGGGA
rnacentral:rRNA from 1 species